rnacentral:rRNA from 1 species
CUACGGGGUGCUCCAGUGGGGAAUAUUGGACAAUGGGGGAAACCCUGAUCCAGCAAUGCCGCGUGUGUGAAGAAGGCCUGCGGGUUGUAAAGCACUUUCGGUUGGGAGGACUGCUUCUAGCACUAAUAUUGUUGGAAGUUGACGUUACCUUCAGAAGAAGCACCGGCUAACUCCGUGCCAGCAGCCGCGGUAAUGACGGAGGGUGCAAGCGUUAAUCGGAGUUACUGGGCGUAAAGCGCGCGUAGGCGGCUAGAUCAGUCGGGUGUGAAAGCCCCGGGCUUAACCUGGGAACUGCAUCCGAUACUGUCUAGCUUGAGUACAGGAGAGGAGAGUGGAAUUCCACAUGUAGCGGUGAAAUGCGUAGAUAUGUGGAGGAACACCAAUGGCGAAGGCAGCUCUCUGGCCUGAUACUGACGCUGAGGUGCGAAAGCGUGGGGAGCAAACAGGAUUAGAUACCCUUGUAGUC